rnacentral:sRNA from 1 species
GGCAGGUGUGGUGGCACACACCUGUAAUCCCAAUGACUUGGGAGGCUGAGGCAGGGGGAUCAGAAAUUUAAAGCCAGCUUCAGCAAUUUAGUGAGGCUCCAAGCAAUUCAGUGAGAUCCUGUCUCUA